GAUCAUGGCUCAGGAUGAACGCUAGCGGGAGCCUAACACAUGCAAGCCGAGCGGUAUAGAAUCUUCGGAUUUUAGAGAGCGGCGUACGGGUGCGGAACACGUGUGCAACCUUACCUUUAUCUGGAGGAUAGCCUUUCGAAAGGAAGAUUAAUACUCCAUAAUAUAUUGAUUGGCAUCAAUUAAUAUUGAAAGCUCCGGCGGAUAGAGAUGGGCACGCGCAAGAUUAGUUAGUUGGUGAGGUAACGGCUCACCAAGACGAUGAUCUUUAGGGGGCCUGAGAGGGUGAUCCCCACACUGGUACUGAGACACGGACCAGACUCCUACGGGAGGCAGCAGUGAGGAAUAUUGGACAAUGGGUGCAAGCCUGAUCCAGCCAUCCCGCGCGAAGGACGACUGCCUAUGGGUUGUAAACUUCUUUUGUAUAGGGAUAAACCUCUCCUCGUGAGGAGAGCUGAAGGUACUAUACGAAUAAGCACCGGCUAACUCCGUG
rnacentral:rRNA from 1 species